UUUGCUCACGUGCAGAAACUCAGGCCGCUUAUCAUGUCACGAGGCAGCAACCGUGUCUGAAGAAAAUGCUGACUACCGCUGCAUGAGGCAGCACACGCACAUCACAGGCUAUAGUGAAUGAUCAGUAUAAGGCAUAACACCAGAAUCAGCCCCCAACAUUCACAGCCAUGUGCACGCACUCAAAAGAGUAGAUAGGAAUUCUCCAGACUUGGGAGGAUAGAAGUCCAGUGGAAGCAGGGAGCUAGAAUGGACAAUGUAUGAAAAAACUAUUGAUGUGUUUUUCUCUUUUAUUUUUUUCUAUUUGCCUUCAGCAAAUGACCUCUUUCUUUGGUUGUGGCAUCAAUCUGCUUGUGAGGAGAUUAAGAUUGUUUCAGGAGGAAUAUAAAGAGAAGGAAAGAGCUAAUAUGCCUUUAUUGAAAUUCAAAACAGGAUUUUGCAGUAAGACAAUGGGCUUGAAAACUGGACUCUGAGAAAGAGAUAAUUUUCUACAUUCACGUAGCUCCCAUUUAAUGUAAUCAAGAUCCAGGUCUUGAUUUAAAUUUCUACCAAAGGAGAAGUGGCAACUAGAGCCAGAAAGCCAACAUGCGAUAUGAAAGGAAUAAAAGAGAAACCUACCUAUUCUCAUCUCCAGGAUUGAAGAAGAGGAAUGCAGGUAGCAUUUGGGAGUUACAAGAAUGUGUGGUGUGCUUGAGCCUCGCUAAGGGCAUGGAAAUCUAGAGAUAAGUAUGGAGAACCAGGCGAGUAACAGCGAAAUAAUGUAAGAAAAAAAGAAUUUAAGGAUUAUCUGAUCUGGGAGAGGCUUACAGAAAUCAGUGUUUCGGUUUCCUAUUUGUUGCUAUUUCUGCCUUUCAUUAGCUGGCAGGGAUCCCUGCCUUAAAAGUAUGUUGGGUGAAGUUGGGGAACAUAAUUGGCAUUGAACCCGUCUUGUGAGAACUUUUUGGAGAAAAUGAGAGUAUGCUGUGAGACGUGCUCUGUUCACAAAUUAUCCAUCCCCCGACUCAACUCCACAUGUUAUUUAUUUUAAGGAGCUGAUGGGCAAGACAGGAAUAUGUAUGUCUGCACAUAAGAUCCUCAGACCAGGCCACUCAAUGUUCAACACGGACCUUGAAUCACACAGAAGGUAUUUCCAAAGGUAGAGAAAAACAUAAAGCCUCCCGACGCCCGGAAAAAAAGUCCUGACCAUCUGCCACCUCCCCCAAUAUGUAAGAAAAAACUGUAUUACUGCAAACAAAUCAACAACAAAAACAAACAAACAAACAAACAAAAACCCCUCUAUUCUCAUUGUAUUUUAUUCUAGUCUGUUUUGUGGAGCUUUGGAUGUUAAAAAAGUGAGGGAGAAGGCCUAGUGAGGUAACGCCGAAGCGUGGCCCAGUUCAGACUUGAGCCCAGAUUUGCACAUCGAGUCCCACCCCUGCCCUACCCGGGACGU